rnacentral:rRNA from 1 species
GACGAACGCUGGCGGCGUGCCUAAUACAUGCAAGUCGAACGCAGUGGGGACGGGUGAGUAACACGUGGGUAACCUCCCAUCAGAGGGGAUAACACUUGGAAACAGGUGCUAAACCGAUACUGAUGGAUGGACCCGCGGUGCAUUAGCUAGUUGGUGGGGUAACGGCUCACCAAGGCCACGAUGCAUAGCGGAGGUGAGAGGGUGAUCGGCCACACUGGGACUGAGACACGGCCCAGAGUCCUACGGGAGGCAGAAGUAGGGAAGCUUCGGCAAUGGACGAAAGUCUGACCGAGCAACGCGGCGUGAGUGAAGAAGGUUUUCGGAGCGUAAAACUCUGUUGUGAGAGAAGCGGUAUGGAACGAGAAAGCCACGGCUAACGACGUGCCAGCAGCCGCGGUAAUAC